AGUGAACGCUGGCGGCGUGCUUAACACAUGCAAGUCGAACGAGAACGGAUUAUAGCUUGCUAUAAUUGUCAGCUAAGUGGCGCACGGGUGAGUAAUGUAUAGGUAAUAUGCCUCUUACUAAGGGAUAACAAAUGGAAACGUUUGCUAAUACCUUAUACUCCUUAUUAACAUAAGUUAAUAAGGGAAAGAUUUAUUGGUAAGAGAUUAGCCUGUAUUGUAUCAGUUAGUUGGUGGGGUAAUGGCCUACCAAGACUAUGACACAUAACUGGUUUGAGAGGAUGAUCAGUCACACUGGAACUGAGACACGGUCCAGACUCCUACGGGAGGCAGCAGUGGGGAAUAUUGCACAAUGGACGAAAGUCUGAUGCAGCAACGCCGCGUGGAGGAUGACACAUUUCGGUGCGUAUACUCCUUUUAUAUGAGAAGAUAAUGACGGUAUUAUAUGAAUAAGCACCGGCUAACUCCGUGCCAGCCGCCGCCGUAA
rnacentral:rRNA from 1 species